rnacentral:sRNA from 1 species
CUGAAAGCACACAAACUACUUUUAAUAAUCUUGCCUCAUAUUCUGCCCUCACGGGGAAGGAUGAGAAGCUUCGACUAAGGUUCGAUUCGAGCGGAAGCGAGAAAGCGUUGCCGAAGGCAACGACCCGAAGGGCGAGGCGCAACGCGCCGAGUCAUCCUUCCCCCACCACCA